CAAAAUCAUCUAUGAAUAAGGUGAGAUGAUAUUUUAAAAUGUAAGGGGAAUCCAUUUAUCUCUUGUACCUGCGUCCAUUUCGCUGUUCGAGAUAGAAUGUAUACAGGCACGUAUAUACUGACAGCCGAUCUUUGGUCGGUUCUACCUGAUGAACAUUGAAAAAUACAUUUGUAAAGCACAGACGAAACACAUCAUUUGUUGUCCGAACUCUAUAUAGAUUGUUACAUUGUAACAUGUGUAAUCAGUAAUGCAUACUUUUGUUUUCUGUUUUUAAAGUCAAUUUGAAAUAUUAUAUUAUGGAACUAUCUUAUUUCAUGCACCAAUUAAACUAGUCGAAAAGGUCAAAAGUCACAAUGACAAUAUGCUCUAUUUGCCUUGAACACCUAGAACACUCAGUGUGCUGUAUUCCUUGUGGACACCUUUACUGCAAUCGAUGUAUCAGUGACUGGAGAAAUAGACACAGCAAUCGAUGUCCAGAGUGCAGGGAAUCAAUUACAACGGUGCAGUCUGUAUACUUAGACACUGAACCUAUCAAAGGUUAGUUAUCAAAGUUAAAUAGUUUUUAAUGCAGUUUUUAAUGGGAUUCAUGUUGUUUAAUUCUAGUUAUUCAUAUAAUAUUUUGUGGACCGUUGUUUUCCUUUUGUCAAUUUCCUUUUUUUAACAUAUUGUUGUUUAUCUAUUUUUGUCUUUUUACAAUUGAGUCUGUUAUAUCUUUUGUUGCAUCUGCCUUUUUUACAUUAGGGUAAUCAACCAUGUAUAUUCGCUACUAUUUACAAACAGAUCUUCAUCAAAGCUUUGCUAUAACUAUAAAUAAAUAUUUCUUACAAAUGAGAAACCAAUAAGUUGCACAAAUUCAAUUCAAUCACGUCAUCAUCACAAAAGAUAAUGUACACAAUUUCUUAAAAAAAAAACAACUUGUAAUUACACAUCAUUCUUUUUAAAUAAAAUGGUUGACAUAGCGAGGUUUAUUUUAAUUGUUUACAUUUCCAUUUUCAAUUUAGUUUCUUGUCAAUUACUCAAUUCAUAUUAAAUUAAUUGAGUAUCCCAUAAACAUCAUUAUGCUACCAGUAAAUGACUAUUUGUUUGUUAUUUCCGACUAUAUCAAUGUCUGAUGGAAUUUGUAGAACUACAUGUUAGACUUAUCUAUUUUUUACGAACAGAUGUAGAGAUAAGCAAAAACAUACUCUAAAGUAUAUAAUGAUUUUUUUAUUCUCUUAUCAAAAAUUAGAAUAUGCAGACAUUAAUUACAAAUUUGUUUAAGUGGUUCAAUGUGAUUUCCAAUGUUGGGCAUAUUAAAUAUUAUUACCAAUGUAAUUUUUGUUUGAAAGAAACAUAUAAAUAAAUGUAUAGAUACAAUAUAUUGGUUCAUAUAUCUACGAAAAAUAAGUCAUUUUUUAUUUUCCUUUACAACGACCUUACAGAACUGUUUGUUGAAAAGACACGACUGAACGAGUGUGUUAAUGAACUAACAGCAACUAUUGAAGAUUUGCGCCAGAAAACAUCA
rnacentral:lncRNA from 1 species